GCCGGGCGUGGUGGCGCGUGCCUGUAGUCCCAGCUACUCGGGAGGCUGAGGUAGGAGGAUUGCUUGAGCCCAGGAGUUCUGGGCUGUAGUGAGCUAAUGCUGAUUGGGUGUCUGCACUAAGUUUGGCAUCAAUAUGGCGACCUCCUGGGGGCGCGGGACCACCAGGUUGCCUAAGGAGGGGUGAACGGCCCAGGUCGGAAAAGGAGCAGGUCAAAACUCCCAUGCUGAUCAGUAGUGGGAUCAUGCCUGUGAAUAGCCACUGCACUCCAGCCUGGGCAACACAGCGAGACCCCGUCUCUA
rnacentral:SRP_RNA from 1 species